UGGGGAUCUACCCAUCAAGUGCGGAAUACCUUUUAGAAAUAAAAGUAAUACCCGAUAAUUCUUUACGGAGGAGAGAUUUAUCGCUGAUGGAUGAGCCCGCGUCAGAUUAGGUAGUGGUGGAGGUAAUGGCUCACCAAGCCGACGAUCUGUAGCUGGUUUGAGAGGAUGAUCAGCCACACUGGGACUGAGACACGGCCCAGACUCNUACGGGAGGCAGCAGUGGGGAAUAUUGGACAAUGGGCGAAAGCCUGAUCCAGCAAUACCGAGUGAGUGAUGAAGGCCUUAGGGUUGUAAAACUCUUUUAGCAAGGAAGAUAAUGACGUUACUUGCAGAAAAAGCCCCGGCUAACUCCGUGCCAGCAGCCGCGGUAAGACGGGGGGGGCUAGCGUUGUUCGGAAUUACUGGGCGUAAAGAGUGCGUAGGCGGUUUAGUAAGUUGGAAGUGAAAGCCCGGGGCUUAACCUCGGAAUUGCUUUCAAAACUACUAAUCUAGAGUGUAGUAGGGGAUGAUGGAAUUCCUAGUGUAGAGGUGAAAUUCUUAGAUAUUAGGAGGAACACCGGUGGCGAAGGCGGUCAUCUGGGCUACAACUGACGCUAAUGCACGAAAGCGUGGGGAGCAAACAGGAUUA
rnacentral:rRNA from 1 species